rnacentral:rRNA from 1 species
UGCUAAGACUGGAUAGGAAAUAAAAAGGAAUCUUUUUAUUUUUAAAAGACCUUUUUCGGAAGGUAUGCUUGAAGAGGGGCUUGCGUCACAUUAGUUAGUUGGUAGGGUAAAGGCCUACCAAGACGAUGAUGUGUAGCUGGACUGAGAGGUUGAACAGCCACAUUGGGACUGAGACACGGCCCAAACUCCUACGGGAGGCAGCAGUAGGGAAUUUUCUGCAAUGGAGGAAACUCUGACCGAGCAACGCCGCGUGAACGACGAAGUACUUCGGUAUGUAAAGUUCUUUUAUUGAAGAAGAAACAAUAGUGGAAAAACUAUCUUGACGUUAUUCAAUGAAUAAGCCCCGGCUAACUAUGUGCCAGCAGCCGCGGUAAUACAUAGGGGGCGAGCGUUAUCCGGAAUUAUUGGGCGUAAAGGGUGCGUAAGCGGUUUAAUAAGUCUCUAGUUUAAUUUCAACGCUUAACGUUGUCCUGCUGGAGAAACUGUUUAACUAGAGUGAGAUAGAGGUAAGCGGAAUUCCAUGUGUAGCGGUAAAAUGUGUAAAUAUAUGGAGGAACACCAGAGGCGUAGGCGGCUUACUGGGUCUUUACUGACGCUGAUGCACGAAAGCGUGGGGAGCAAACAGGAUUAGAUACCCUGGUAGUCCACGCCGUAAACUAUGAGUACUAAGUGUUGGGGUUAAACUCGGUACUGAAGUUAACACAUUAAGUACUCCGCCUGAGUAGUACGUACGCAAGCAUGAAACUUAAAGGAAUUGACGGGAUCCCGCACAAGCGGUGGAUCAUGUUGUUUAAUUCGAAGAUACACGAAAAACCUUACCAGGUCUUGACAUACUCUGCAAAGCUAUAGAAAUAUAGUGGAGGUUAUCAGGGAUACAGGUGGUGCAUGGUUGUCGUCAGCUCGUGUCGUGAGAUGUUAGGUUAAGUUCUAAAACGAGCGCAACCCCUGUCGUUAAUUGCCAGCACGUUAUGGUGGGGACUUUAGCGAGACUGCCAAUGAAAAAUUGGAGGAAGGUGGGGAUUACGUCAAAUCAUCAUGCCCCUUAUGAUCUGGGCUACAAACGUGAUACAAUGGCUAUUACAAAGAGUAGCUGAAACGCGAGUUUUCGGCAAAUCUCAAAAAAAUAGUCUCAGUUCGGAUUGAAGUCUGCAACUCGACUUCAUGAAGUUGGAAUCGCUAGUAAUCGCGAAUCAGCAUGUCGCGGUGAAUACGUUGACGGGGUUUGUACACACCGCCCGUCAAA